UGAACCGUUAAUUUUUGGGAG
rnacentral:piRNA from 1 species